CUACGGGAUGCUCCAGUGGGGAAUAUUGCACAAUGGGCGCAAGCCUGAUGCAGCCAUGCCGCGUGUAUGAAGAAGGCCUUCGGGUUGUAAAGUACUUUCAGCCGGGAGGAAGGGAGUAAAGUUAAUACCUUUGCUCAUUGACGUUACCCGCAGAAGAAGCACCGGCUAACUCCGUGCCAGCAGCCGCGGUAAUACGGAGGGUGCAAGCGUUAAUCGGAAUUACUGGGCGUAAAGCGCACGCAGGCGGUUUGUUAAGUCAGAUGUGAAAUCCCCGGGCUCAACCUGGGAACUGCAUCUGAUACUGGCAAGCUUGAGUCUCGUAGAGGGGGGUAGAAUUCCAGGUGUAGCGGUGAAAUGCGUAGAGAUCUGGAGGAAUACCGGUGGCGAAGGCGGCCCCCUGGACGAAGACUGACGCUCAGGUGCGAAAGCGUGGGGAGCAAACAGGAUUAGAUACCCCUGUAGUC
rnacentral:rRNA from 1 species